CAGAGAUAUAGAGGCGCGGAAUCCAUCAGUAGCUGCCAUCAGGUGCUCAAACACCGGUGAGGGACAGCGAAAGGGGCUUCCGCCGAAAUGAAGCGUCGUUUGAGCGCGCUUUGUUGGGCGUCUGGAGAAUAUCCAUGCGACUGUCGCAAUGUUUUUGCGGAGUGCUAUAUUCGAU
rfam:Firmicutes bacterium CAG:170 genomic scaffold, scf313